rnacentral:rRNA from 1 species
GUAGUCCUUGCCGUAAACGAUGAACACUUGAUGUAGUUGGGCUCAACCCUGACUGUGUCGUAGCUAACGCGAUAAGUGUUCCGCCUGGGGAGUACGCUCGCAAGGGUGAAACUCAAAAGAAUUGACGGGGACCCGCACAAGCAGUGGAGCAUGUGGUUUAAUUCGAUGCAACGCGAAGAACCUUACCUGGUCUUGACAUAUUUAGGACAUCAGUAGAAAUAUUGAGUUCCCGCAAGGGACCUUUUUACAGGUGCUGCAUGGCUGUCGUCAGCUCGUGCCGUGAGGUGUUGGGUUAAGUCCCGCAACGAGCGCAACCCUUGUCGUUAGUUGCCAACACGUAAUGGUGGGCACUCUAGCGAGACUGCCUCGGUUAACGAGGA